AACGGCUAUACCAUGCUGAAUAUACCGGUUCUCGUUAGAUCACCGAAGUCAAAGCGUCAUUGGACGCGUUAGUACUUGGGUGGGUGACCACCUGGGAACACCGCGGGCCGUU